UGGGGAAUAUUGGACAAUGGGCGGAAGCCUGAACCAGCCAUGCCGCGUGCAGGAAGACGGCCUUCUGGGUUGUAAACUGCUUUUACCAGGGAACAAAUAGGCCAUGCGUGGCAAGUUGAGUGUACUUGAGGAAUCAGCAUCGGCUAACUCCGUGCCAGCAGCCGCGGUAAUACGGAGGAUGCAAGCGUUAUCCGGAAUGAUUGGGCGUAAAGCGUCUCCAGGUGGCUAUGCAAGUCUGCUGUUAAAGAGUGGAGCUCAACUCCAUAAGGGCAGUGGAAACUGCGUAACUAGAGUACGUUCGGGGUAGAGGGAAUUCCUGGUGUAGCGGUGAAAUGCGUAGAUAUCAGGAAGAACACCGGUGGCGAAAGCGCUCUACUAGGCCGUAACUGACACUGAGAGACGAAAGCUAGGGGAGCGAAAGGGAUUAGAUACCCCCGUAGUCC
rnacentral:rRNA from 1 species